rnacentral:lncRNA from 1 species
CACGGGUGUAUCUGGAGGCCCGGGUGGAAGGAGAGGAUGGCGUCGCGGAGACUCGCGGGUGGCGUUCCGGCCGGCGUCGAGGCCGGGAGUGGAGGGGGAGCCGGGGUCGGGGUGGGGCUCUGCUGGAGCUGCGGCGGUAGGUGGGAGAGGAGAGAGUUAAAGGGGAGCGGGGGCGGGUCGCGGAGGCGGAGCAGCAGCCGGCGGAGCGGCGCGGCGGCGGCGGCCAUCGGAGACGUGCGAGAAAAGAGGGGAGGGUUUCGUCGUAGGGAAUGGAGGCUGGGUGGGCUGACGCUUGCGUUGUGUUGUUCUGCGUGGUUCCUUGGGCUGGGUCGGGGGACUGGAGCGGGUGGGCUUAUUGUGCGUCCUAGGUUUCGGCCCAGCUUGCUGUCGUUCGAUUUUAAAUUUUCCAAUUUAAAUUCCGUUCAAUUUUUUUCUGGCAACGGUGAAUUUUCUUUUUCUUUUUUGUGGCGAGAGACAAGUGUGACAUUUCAGGUGUAUUUGAAUAACCUUGAUUUUUUAUUGAAGCUAGGUGAGAAAUAUGAGCAAUAUUCGUAUAGUAGCGAAGUCAAUUAGCAUAUUGUGCAUCAUCCAUACAUAGCAUCAUAAUAUAGGGGGGAAAUGCAAAAAUACCACAUGUCACUUUGGUUUUGAUAUUCCAUCUCACAACACAUUUUCUUGAAAAGGACCACCCUAGGGGAGGAUCUAGAGCGCGGACUGGGGUGCUGCAGCCCAGGUCCAGUCCAACUCAUGUAGUGCCUACUACCACUAUGCAAAUUCCAAAGCUAUGUGCGUCGUGUACUUGAUUCUUCAAAUUUCUCUGGUCCUAACCACGCCUAACUUGAUUUUACUUAAAUAUAAAAACACUCUAUUGCUCUAAGCUUUCGAGUUACUCCCUUUAUCCCAACCCAAAUUAUAAGUUGUUUUGAUUUUUAGGUUCAUAGGUGUUUGCAUGCAUCUAAAUAUAGUGUAUGUCUAGAUGCAUGCAAACACCUAUGAACUUAGAAAAGCUAAAAUAGCUUAUAAUUUGAAACGGAGGGAGUAGAAGGCUGGCCCAUGAUCAGAAGGAUGCCUUGAUACCUAAUUGGAUUGGAUGAGAUCAAUCACAUCAGGAGAUAGUAAAGUGGUCAUGAAAAUGCAUGCGUAUUGCCCAUACAUACACGUGCUAGACAAGAAGUUAUGCAUAAUAUGAAGAAUGCAACUAUUGAAAUUCAGUUGCGCGGAGAAUUGUAUGUGGUUUUGAAUUGACCGCAACAAUAUUAUCUAAUACUGUACAUGGAUACAGCUAGUGAUUGUCGAUCCCUUGCACUCAGAUAAUUUCUUAAGGAUAUCCGGUGUUAACAGCAUAGGAAAAUAGUAGGCCAAAGUACAAUGUUCACCCAAAAAAAGAAGAAGAAGACAACACAAAAGCAAAAUAACACGAAAGUCCUUGGCUCCUUGCAGCUCUCUUGCUUCUCCUACAACCAAGAAGAUUUUUCGUCACUGAACAGUUCGAUCUCCAGUCCGGGAUACCGGUGUUCUAUGUGAUCAACUGCUCAUAGAGCCAUAUAUAGUCACACCGCUUUCGGACCAACCAUGAAAAAAAGAAAAGAAAAAGAGGAACGGCAUCAUCUCAGACAACCCUAACACACAACCGCUCUUUUGCAUUUCAAGUACUGCUCAUAGAGUUAUAGUCACAGCUUUCGGACCAACUGCGAAAAAAAGAAAAGAAAAGGAGGAACAGCAUCAUCUCAGAGAAUCCUAAUGCAUUUCAAUGGGCUAGUCUUGAGCGCUGUGACCAUAUAUAUUCUUAACAGCCAAUCGAAAAGUUUUCCUAGUAAACCUAAAACCAUUUUUGCGCAACUUUUUCCAUCGCCUGGCAUUCUUGUUUAUUUAACUCUCUUGAUGCUGGCAUAUGUUGCUUGGUCCCCAAAGGGCGUGUGGAUUUUACUUCUGUAACCUGUUUCUAUGGGCAAGUAAUUGAUUAUUGGGAAUAUAAGUCUCGGUAUGAUUGGAUUCGAUAAUGUUCACUAACAAUGCACAACCAUCUGAGAUCUGCAUAAUCCAAUACAUACAAGGGCACAUAGAGAAAAAACUGAAAGAUUGCAGUAAAAUCUGAAAAUAAUAACACUGUAUGAGAUGACACUUGUCAUGAUUUGUGUGCUAUGAAAACAAAUAAUGAUGGUUAGAAGUAUAAUAAUAUACAAGACAUCAUGCAUUGCAUAUGAUCUGUCUGUGGAGAGAUUUUCGUGUGUGGGUCGAGGGCAUGCAGAAACAGCACAGCAUCGGUUCCUCUACCAUUACCAUUAUUGUAGGAAAUAUGGAUUGUCCCUCAAUUUCUAGCUAUGAUAACUAACUGAGCUAUGACAUAGAUGGCCCACGUACGUAAGCUGCUUUGCGAAGCUCAGUCACUAAUAUUUUUUCUUCAAAUUAAAGCUAUCAACCUUUCGUAGUUGAUUGCCCAACUAGUAGAUGUUAAAAUAAAGACUGGAUUGCUGAUGGGUUAGUUUCACGGCAUUUGGAGUUGAAGCUAGCUAGCAAGAUCUAGAGAAGCCUACUUGAUGGGAGCGAGCCCUCAGCAUUACAAAUGGUCCUGUGGUUGCUCGUCUGCUUGAUUUCACUCGAAGGACGUCACUGUAAAACAUCUGCACAAUCCAGUAUGUAGUUAGGUAAAAGUUAGUGAAAGGGUAAGGACUUUUGAUAGCAUGCAUUCCGAAUACAUGGUUUUUGUAAGAAUAAAGUGGAUGCAGUCUACUAUGAAUUAAGUAAGAUGUGCAGGCAUUGUUGCAUUAUGCUCUUCUGAAACAAAUAGCUGAGAUUCUAUGCUAGCUAGGUUAAAGGAAAACUAAAACAGGUAAUUUCAUAAUUCUAACCAGAAUGACGAAGUACUCCAUCUUUUUACAGACGAGCUAAUUGUUACUUGGUUUUAAAACUAAUUAGAUUACCUAAAUGUCAUAUAUUUUUUAAAAAAGGGAAAGUACCAUGUAGACAGGUACAUGACCACUAACCUCUCCAAUAGCACUAUCUGGUUCAUCGAAUGCUUCCAUGGUUACAAGUCCGAACCCCGAAGACUGUCCGGACAUUGUAUCACAGAUGACUCUUGCAUCCAUGACUAUGCCAUACCUGGCGAAGAAAACUCGCAGCAUGCAUGACACUACACAUCCAUGCUGGCAGGUUGCCCACGUACAUCUUGAGAAGGGGCCCGAAUCUUGAAGUUGAACCACGAAUGAUCUUUAUUGGACAUGGAGCAGUUUGCUUCUCCUUAGGAACCGGAAGCCUUCCUCCGAUAUCCUGCCCAAGUGAAAUUUUGAACUCUGAUCUACUUAUUCAAAACCCUACAUUUUGUAAUCCAGAGAAUUUGCAAAUUAUCAGUCCUAAAUGCCUAAUGUUUUUAUAUUAUUAAAUAUAAAGAAAAAAGAAGUUUCAAGGCUACGAAGUGCUGCGGCCUGUACACGUGGCUCCUCACCGGCACGUUUCUACAACCGACAUUGAGGAUGAAGUAGGCGGAACCACCGCUGACGGCACCACCAAACCACGCGGCAUCGACGGGCAUAGCUGGUCGGGCAACCCAGGGACAGGCGUGGUCCCUCAGGCUCCAGCCGUCCCUCCUCACCCAUCGCACACUGUUCCGGCCAUCGCCGGCUUCCAUCGCGUGUACCCACACCGACAGAGCACCAGCGAGAUCCCCAGAGACGCCGCCGUUGUCCGCCGCUAUGGGUCGGGUGACGACGGGCCAGCAGCUCGCUGCGGGACUCGGAAGAUGUAGAUGCAUAGUGGCUGUUGGGCCGCGCGCUCGUCUGGAGUAAUUUCUGCCGGCGUCGUACGGAGUUCUUGGACCACGCCAUCAUCGUCGCCGCCGGAGCCGGCAGUCACGCGCAGCUUCACGUUGGUGGACUGGUAGAGGUCGACGAGCAUGAUCUCCCCACAAUGAUAUGCGGCGGCGCAGCAGUGGUCGAGGCUGGCGUGCGGCCCAUCUUCGCCUCCGUCCACACUGCGUCACCGGGGCGGAGGACCGCCACCAAACUGCAGGGGGUGUCCUUGAAGUAGAACCCGAUGUCGUACAGAACGACGGCGCCGUCGGCAGGGACGACGCUAGUGGCACGCUCCAUGUCGAUGAGCCUUUCGAUCUCAUCCAGUAGGUGAGGCAGCGUGGCGGUGGCUCUGUUGAAAGUGUUGACGAGGUGCGGAGGAGAUGGAGAGCGACCGGCAUUCCUGCCGCCAGUGAUGAGGAGCAGCCACGCGCCCACGCCGUCGGCGCUCGUGAGCCACUUGAUGGGGCGGUUGGACGUGCCGGGCGCGCACCAGGUGGUCUUGGUGAAGAUGGGCAUUUUAAUCCCGAUUUAAAGUAGGCCCAGUACAAAAGGAGGUACACGGAGCUUUACUCUCGGUUGGUAUUUGCAACCGGAACUAAAAAUCACCUUUUAUCCCGGUUCAAAAAUUAGCCACCCGUGGAGGACCCUUUAGUCCCGGGUGAAAAAAUCAGCUACCCGUGGGGGAUCUUUUUAUCCUGGGUGGUAAGAAUAACCGGGACUAAAGGUCACCCUUUUAAUCUCGGUUGGUGUUACCACCUAGGACUAAAGCUCACGACACCAACCUGGAUAAAAUGGGGUCUUUUAUCCCGGUUGGAAACUCCAACUAGGAUAAAAGGAUCCCUCACGGGUGACUGAAAAAGAACUAAAGCCCUCGGACCCUUUUAUCCCGGUUGGAAACACCAACCGGGAUAAAAGGGUCCCCACGAAUUAGUAUAAAAGGAUUGGAUCUCCUAUAUAGUCAGAUGUGGUGUGUAGGUGGGAUGGCAAGGAAGCUACGCGCGAGGCUUGAGGUUGUUGGUGACUUGUGAUACCCCUGGGAAUUUAUUUAUUUUUCAAAUUUUUUUUGCAAAACCAUUUAUCCCGGUUGUUAUUACUAACUGGGAUAAAAGGGGUCCUGUACCGUGCCUGGUGUGGCAACCCAUUUAGUCCCGGUUGAGGGACCUGGGAUAAAAGAUACCCCUUUUAUCUCGAUUGCUUUGUCCCGGAUGGUUUUUCGAGAGAUUUGCACCCUUCCAACCGGGACUAAUACUCAGUUUUCUACCGGUGCGCGCCAUCCAAGGGUGGGAGUUGCUGCCUGGCGCGAGGAGCCACGGGAGGAAUGGCAGCGGCAGCGUGCCGCUCCAUGCCUUGCAGGCGGCGUGGAAGCAAACGGAGUCCGCGGCGUCGUGGAGGGUGCCGGAGAUUUGCCGGAUCAGGUCCGGCAGGAGGUCAGCCCACGUCCUACGGCGGCAGGAUGCCGCCUCCAUAGCUAGUUGAGUUGCAUGAGAUCUUGAUGGGAGAUUUGCGGAACUGUGGCAACUGACAAUUAGCCAGGAAUUAAUCUGUUCUUCAAAACUUGUUUUUUUUUCCCGAAAGAUUUGCAGAGUGCGGCGAGUAUUAUCUAAUAGGCAGUCUCAUGCAUUAACAUGUAAUUUUGAGAUGACUCAACAGAAAAUCGGUAUGAUUUGCAUUGCAACAACUUGUACAAUGGUUAUUAAGUUAUCUCGUAGUCCUAAAAUUUAGCUUACAAGGCGGUUUUUUCGUGAAACAACGAUCUCUUCUCUCCCUUUACAUCAUCAAAAAUUUUACGUGACACUGCAUAAGGCAGCAUAUAAGACCGUUGACGUGUAGCAAUGUACUUGUUCAAAACUUGUGUGGUGAGGGUAUUUGCAUGGUUUUCCUUGCGGUGUUUCACUGUAUUUUCCAAAUUUGGCUGGGCUGCAAACAAUCUAACGAAGGAGACAACUAAAAAGACAUUCAGACUAAUUUCAUUUUUAGAGGUUGUUUGUGUUAAAUUGUCCUACUUAAUAAAUAGAUAACUAAAAAGAUAUCCAGUCUAAUUUCAUUUUUAGAGGUUGUUUUGUGUCAAAUUGUCCUGCUAAAUUAAUAUUAGAUAUGUGUUGACGGCUGUUAGGAUGUAAAGUUGUGAAACGCAAGCGUACGAAUCAGUUGUAACUCUUCCCUCAUAGUAUUUCCCUAAGAUUUAUCAAUCCGUGGAACCUAUAGCAUAAAUGUUCCCUCAUAAUAUUUCCCCAAGGUUUAUCAAUCCGUGGAACUUAUAGUAUAAGAUCUAUUUCAACUAGUAUUGUUAGUAUUAACUUGGUGUCUAUGAGAGAUUCAGAUCCAAUCUACUAAGCAUAUACAGACAGAUAACAGAUAGAGCAAGGGUAACCAAUCUAGAGCAACCAGGACUAUGUCGUACAUACAUCUAUUGCCUCACUAGAAGGUUUGGACAGUCCUAAAUACAGAGCUGUACACCAAGAUGUAUCUGACAUGGAGACUAUGGUGUAGGACGACGUUGUCUAUGUGGCAAGACAGGAACUAGUCGAGGAUUAGGAAAAGUACUCGUAGCAAUUAGAGUAAGACUCAAUUAGUCGAAUCCAACUAGUAUUUUUGUAAAUCAACCGACCUUUAACCCUUCCCCCGGCAAUAUAAGGUGAGGCAGGGACCCCCUUCAAAGCAAUUCAAUCCAACCAACACACAGGACGUAGGGUAUUACGCAACCUAGUGGCCCGAACCUAUCUAAAUUGUGUGUUUGUGCUCACCUUCGAGUUCCUAAUCUCGGCGAGCCCCACUAACCAAAACACUACCUCGGGCACCACCUCGGUAGGUUGUCGGGUCUAAACACUGACGGCUGGCGCGCCGGGUAGGGGCUCUCGCGGAGAAUCCAGUAGCGAACUCAAUGGCCCAAGUCAUCAUCAAGCUAACCAUCGCAUUCGAAGCAGGCGCGAUGUUCAUCUUUAGCUUCUGGGUUUGCUUCACAGACGACGCUAGAAAUUUCCACCACCACAUUGCGACGACCUCGAAGAAGAAGCGGCAAACCAUGAAGCUCCAGCGUCAAGCUCUACAAGAUCUCGUCGAGAAUUUCGACAAAAUUUCAAUUUCUAACUUAGUCAGGGGCUGGGGGGACGAGUCCGAGUACAAUUCGACUUCUCCCACCAGUCGGAUUGACCCACACGAGCUGGCACAUAAGCUAUCAUGCAAAUUGGACUACAACCCAAGUCGACUCCCAUUCGGACUUCGCAAUGCGGCUACUACUUAUCAGGCUACCUUAUCCAGAUCACAAUCUAAUACGGAUAUGAUCGAGGACCUUGACUACUACGCGGAUCCGGACGAGGAGACCCCUUUAUCAGAUCUGCAGGGGGGCCUGUUGAUCACAUCAACUCCACAAGGCAGAUUCAUCUACUGGCCCAACAUAAAGACACCUACUCUCGGCAAGGACGACGAUUCACGCCUCAUCGCCUACCUCGACACCCUCUUGUACCAGGAGAGAACUCCUCUGUCGCCCAUCUAUGAAGAAGGCGGCACCACGGAGGUCAUCACUUCAAGCUUGGGAAGUUACUCUUUGGAAUGAGAACUCUUCGCUCUCAUUGCUGGACAAGAGGAUAAAGAAGAAGAGCAACGGGACAGAAACCCGCGACACGAGCGUCACCCAGAUGAUGUCUUGCAGGAUGAGCUCACAACCAGCGUUGCUGGAGAACAGAUUAAAGCUCAAAGAACUCAACGGUGAGCAAGAAACAUCGCAAGAGCAGAGUGCCGCCGCCGCCUUGCAGCAAACCUACCAAUCAUGAACCUAGAUAACGCGUUCAAAGCAGUUCAAUUGCGUCACCAUCGUACUCCCCUUGCCACCAUCGCGUCCACUGAUCCCAUUACCCGCUCAAUGCCACAGGACAAGUACACUAGACAAUUGGCUGAACUGGCAGAGCGUGCAUACGAACAACUCGAUUAGCAGAACCCGAUACAUUCAGUUCAAUGCUUCCCUUUCCAGUGUAGUCAACAUGGUAGUAGCCUUAAAGACCCUCCAUCCAGACCAAGUCAAAUUGGAGUCGCCAAGCCAAGUCAAGUUGGAGUAGAGGGUAGUCGGGCAGGACCCUCGGAAAGCCGUGGCCACCGUGGGCCUAACCUAGAAAUUGAAUGCCCAGUAGAAGAUCUUCGCAACAAGAUCAACGCCGACCACGAUGCCCGCACCAUUAUUGCCGGACGGCGCUGAGAGCGCGAGCAAGAAGUUGAACACCCAGGGGAUGAUUCUGACAGGUUCCCUACCUUCUCCAGACAGGUGAGGAGGAUAUUCCUACCUGAAAAAUUUAAACCCCGGGUAUCACCAAAUACGAUGGCAAGUAAGGCCCAGUCCAAUGGCUCUGAUGCUACUCGCUGUCAGUGCAAGUAGCUGGAGGAAACGGCGAUACCAAAGUCAUCUACUUCUCCAUCUGCAUGGAGGCAGCGCCACUCACAUGGCUCGAAUCAUUAGAUAAGAAUUCCAUCAACACGUGGAAGGACCUCAAGGUGGCGUUCACCAAUAACUAUGCAGGGGAAAUGCAGCGUCCUAGCAACAGGAUUGACUUGUCUCAAAUUAAACAACAAGAAGGCAAGACCCUGCGGAGUUACUUACAUCGCUUCUUUAACAAAAAAACCACAAUUGUGGACAUUGCGGAGCACAACAUUAUAGAUUGCUUCCAGAAUGGCCUCUACGACCGCCAGAUGUUCCAGGACUUCAGCAGAAGACGCCCCACUGAUGUCAAAUCUCUUAAGAUCAUGGUACAGGCGUGGGUAGAUGAAGAAGAUAGGGAGAUCGAGAGGUUCGAGUCUAAUCGCAACAAGGGCCAACACAACAAUAAUUAGAACAAUGGCCAACGCAAUGACAAGAACCACAACAAUCGCCCUAACAAUGACAACCGAAAUUACUACUUGGGAGGUCACAACCGCAAGCGAAAGCCAGAUAAUACUGUCGCGGCAAUGUCACAGUCAUCCAAGAAAGGUGGCGGUUCGAAUCAAGACAGGCCCUUGUUCAACGAGCUCCUAAAGAAACAGUGCCUAUGGCACCCAUACCACAAGCACGCUGCGAUAGGUUAUUUCAGUCUACGCAGAGUCAUAAAGGACCUGCCGAAACCAUCUGGCACUAAAGACAAGGGCAAGGCCAAAGAAAAUGAAGAUGAUGGUGACAAUGGUAAAUUCUAGAACCCAUCUAACACCAUCAACGUCAUCUUUGAUGGCACACUGGAUACUACUACUAAGCGGUCCCAGAAGCUCGGCCUUCGAGAGAUUAUGUCCAUUGAACCUGCAACACCAACGUUCCUAAAAUAGUUCGAGGUACUAAUUACCUUCUCCAGGAAGGACCAAUGGACUAGUUUCUCAGGAUCAGGACGGUAUCCCCUUUUCCUGGACCUAGUAGUCGCUGGCUCCAGACUCGCUAAAGUACUCAUCGAUGGUGGUAGCGGUCUCAAUGGUUGUUCGCCAGGGCACUGAGGAAUAUGGGCCUCGACAUCACAGAUAUACUCACUUCAAUGAACUCUCCGUUCUAUGGGAUUGUCCCACGCAACGUGGUUGUACCCCUAGGAUAGGUGGUUUUGCCAGUUACCUUUGGAACCAAAUAGCACUGUCGGACAGAGUACAUUCGAUUCGAGGUAGUAGACUUCAAAACAUCAUACCACACUAUCCUCGGAAGACCAGCAUUGGCCAAAUUCAUGGCCAUCACGCACUACGUGUACUUAUUACUCAAGAUGCCGAGACCCAAGGGAGUAUUCUCCCUGCACAGAGACUUGAAGAGGUCGUAUGACUACGACACGGAAGCUGUGGAGCUAGCAGCAACUACACAAGUACCAAAUUUGAUGAUGCAAGUGUGGCGGAUCCACCUCGGAUUAGCUAAAUCAAGGCACGGUUAGGUCGCCUAACAUGCGACACUCAGCCUUAAUCGAGCUAACACGAGAUGUCGUCGGAUUUCAUCCGAUUUAACCACUUGAACAGGACCGAGUUAGCAAACUCAUACGAAGGUGAGCGGUUCCAGAGAAUACAACAAGUCCACUGAGUUAAUCCAAUUGACCAUUUUAGUUCAACAACAAACAACAUCAGGGUUUUACAAGAUUUAGAAGAAAACAACAGAAGGUAAACAAGCGGAAGCUAAACGCAGGGGGUCGGACAUCCUUGGUGAGGCCAGCCAAGACAUCAGUGAUCCCUCUCCUCGCCGUCCGAGGAGGGAUCCCACUCGACCGUCCAACCCGGAGGGAGCUGGGGUGGCCAAGUGCCAACCGAAGAAGGCUCGGGAGCAGCAACUUCACCUGAAAAAGAAAAGCCACAACAAGGCUGAGCUACUAAGCUCAACAAGACUUAACCGGCAGGGAGUACGCUACUCCACCACUUCUAGACAUGCAAGGCUCUUUGGCUGAGGGGUUGGUUUGCCAAGAAGCACUAGGUAGAUCCUUAUUUUCAAGUUUUAGCUCAGAUUCUAGGUUCAUUAACCGGUCUAAGUGGGCACUUACUCUAAGCAAACAUAGAACCAACCAAGGGUGUAUAUAUCAUCAUCAAGACCAUGUCAUCAUCAGAUUCCUUUAUUACUCAGUGUAGCAUAGCGAUCAAGCAGUCUCAAACUGUGAGAGGCAGACGAAUCGAUUCGAGUUCUUUAACCAUGCAUGGUGAACCUAACCUCACGACAUCCACGCACCACCGAGGGUGGCUUCCUGUGUCGGCCUUCCCCAUCAAUCCCUAAACCCGUGUCGGGCCCAUUUCCUUUGGUGCAAUGUUCCACAGACCCGACCUCUGCCGUUCUGUGACCACACUUGCCACCACGUGCGGCCGCAGGGGAACUCCGUUCCAAGGACAAUGGGGCGACCGCUCACGUCUAGGUUCAAUCCGGUACUCGGCUUCCUCAUCCCAUAAUAAGUAUGAGGUUAGUACUUUCAAACACUUGAUCAUGAACACCACCACUGUCGGGCCUUAACAAGUUCCAUAGACAGACGGGGUGAUCAGCCGAUCACCAAAGAGUUAACCAAAACCCUGCCCCGUCCAUCGUCCUUAUAGUUGUAACAGAAAGGAAACAACCAACUCCUAUAAACUCGCGAGUGACAGGAGAUCACUCAGCUUUUACCGCUCCCUAUUAAGCAUAGCAACUACUCGGACCCAACAGACUAGUGUUCAGCUCAAGGGAACUAAGUCAUGCAUCUACGGUUUCAAGCAACUCCUAUACGUAAAUGCACAAACAAGGAACAGAAGGCAUGCGCAAGUUAUGGAAACUGGGAUUCAUGCUCCGGGGCUUGCCUUCGAACAAGGAGGAAGGGAAGGGGUCUUCUGCGGGGGCAGCUUUGGCUUCUGGAAGCGGGAGCUCGGUUGCAGCUUCGUCCUCUGGCGCCGGGUGCAACUCGUAGAAGCCGUCGGCGAGACGCAGCUCUACACGAAUGCAAUGCAAGAGUUAGCAUUUAGACGGUUAUUUCAACAGCAACACUUGCAAGUUCUAGCUCAGAAACUUUGUAGCAUAGCUACGGAAAGAGUGGGGAAGUUCGCUUGGGUUGGAGAAGAACAAGGCAAAGGGUCGGAUGGGAAGAAGCUUAUGAUCUGACCCUUAGACUAGAGGAAUAGAUGUGUUGGGGGUCCUUAGACUUAACGCCGAGAAGUCCCCGUUAAGGAAAAAGAUACAGCCGAGCCCUCGGGCGAGGCGGAGAAAGGGUCGACAAAACAGAAAGGGUCGGGCGAGACGGAACAGGGGUCGGGCGGAUAGAAGGGGUCGGACGAGGCGGAAAAGGGGUCGGCAGCUUACCUUCGUCUUACAGGUGAAGCUUGAGGGUCGAGAAGGGGCAGACUCGGUCGGAGGAACUGGAGCACUAAGGCUUGGGCAGGCGAUGAUGUCCGGCGGUGCUCCGGCGACAGCGGGGCUUUUUGUGGACUAGAAGCAAGCUCUUGCGCAGCGCGGAGGAGCAAGCGACUGGGCGGAUAGGAAGGGCGGGCGUGGAGCGGAGAGGAGAGUUCCUCAGGGACUUAGGGUGUAGCGCUUGAGCACGAAACAGAGAGCAAGGUGGAAGGGCAGCGAUGGCGAAGGGGACUCCGGCGGAGCUCUGGCAUUCCCUUUUAUAGCUGCGUGGAAGAGAGAAGGUUGGAGCGGCGCGAAGACCGGGAAGAAGCAAUCGAGUGCUCUACCGGGGCGGAGAUUGAGCAGCGGCACGGCGGAGCAGGACUUCGGGGAUGGCACCGGCGGUCAUUGGGCACCAACGACAGGGCGGCGCAGGCGCGGUUUUGCUGGUGGUUGAAAUUUGGCGGAGGUGGGCGUCGCCGUGCGGUGGAUCUGAUGGAAGUGACCAGGGGAACGGCGCUAGAAGCGAGGGCGCACAGGUGAGAAGACAGGCAGGCUGCGGUUGCGCGGGCGUGCGUGAAGCAACAGACUGUCGGGGGCGCGGCUCUGACAGGGCGGAAAACGGAGCUGUCGCGGCCGGGGUCUGGGUUUGCGGAGGAGGAAUCGUCGCGUAGCGUAUUUGGGGUGGCGCGACGGUGGAGAUGCGGCAGAAAAGAUGGGAGGCAUCGGGCUCUACAGCCGGGGGUCUGGUGGGGUGAUGAUGGGCGCGAGCCGUGAGGUACUGCAGAAAGGGUAGCAGAGGAGCUUCCGCUGCGAUUUGGGAAAGGGGCGCGAGAAUCCAUCCGGUCAUGGCCGGCGACGAAGCGGAGCGGCGGGUGUCGGAGAAGUUGAGCCACGCAGCGGAGAAGCUCUGAGGCGGGCCUGCUAAUCGAGUGCGUCUGUCGCGGGAGAUCUGGGAGAAAUAUUUUGUGGGUCCACUGGUCAGUCUUGGUUGGUCCACUGCUCAGAUGGAGAGAGAGGCGUUGCGGGAAGACUUAGAAGGAUCCGACGGUUGAGUUUGGGGUCGGCAGGGUCGGGACGGGAAACCAGCGGAGAGGGGUCGGAUCUCAAGGGUCGGGACCGGACUGGGGGUUGAGCACUUAAACUCGGGGAAACUAAGAUAGGGGAUUAGGGACCUGGAUUAAGAUUAACUCAAGAGAUUUUGGGGGUCGGUCGUCACAGCAAGUCUUCGCCGCAUCCAAGAAAUUGUCUCCGUCAAAACUCGAGAUCUCAAAAAAGAAGUCAGGGGCAACCAAGGUCAAGCCAUCAAGUGAAGUAGAUGUCAAAGCCAUUGACCUUGAGACUGGUGACAGCUCCAAGACAGCUCUAAUUGGCGUAGGGCUGGAUCCUAAAUAGGAAAGCGCGCUCGUCAGCUUGCUCUGGGCCAACCGAGACAUCUUCGUAUGGAAACCAGCGGAUAUGCUGGGGUUGCCCAGGGACUUGAUUGAGCAUUUGCUAAACGUGGAUCUAAGAGCUACACCAAAAAGGCAAUGCCUACGAUGAUUUGCCUGAGAUAGAAGGAAAGCCAUCAAAAAAGAGCUAGCCAAACUACUCACGGCAGGCUUCACAAAAGAGGUCUAUUAUCCAGAGUGGUUUGCCAAUCAUAUCCUAGUAUGAAAGAAAAACAACAACAAGUGGAGAAUGUGUGUCGGUUACACAGACCUCAACAAGCACUGUCCAAAGGAUCCCUUUGGGCUCUCUAGGAUUGAUCAAGUAAUCUACUCCACAGCUAGGUGUGCCCUACUCUGCUUCCUCGAUUGCUACUCGGGUAUCACCAGAUAGCUCUCAAGGAAGAUGACUAAAUCAAAACUGCGUGCAUCACCCAUAGAUGUUUUCUGCUACACUACAAUGUUUUUCGGACUGAAGAACGCAGGCGCUACUUAUCAACGGGCAAUCCAUGAGUGCAUCAAGAAGCAGUUACACUGCAACGUAGAGGUGUACGUGGAUGAUGUGGUCGUAAAGACCAGAAUUCUUGAUGACCUGAUUGCAUAUUUGGAAGAAACCUUCACAAGCUUGCAAGAAUUUCGUUGGAAACUAAACCCAACAAAGUGCAUUUUUGGCAUACCCUCCGGAAAACUACUUAGGUUCAUCAUUAGUCACCGAGGAAUUGAAGCUAACCCUGAAAAGUUCUCCACCAUUACCAACAUGCAUGCCCCAUCGUGCAUCAAGGACAUCCAGAAGAUAACUGGAUGCAUGGCGGCACUCAACAGAUUCAUCUCAAGCUUUGGAGAAUGGGGCCUACCCUUUUUCAAACUACUCAAGCAGCGAGAUAAAUUCUAGUGGACCGAGAAGACAGAUCAAGCCUUGCAACAGUUAAAGGACUUUCUAUCAAAACCACCGGUCCUCACGGCACCAAACCCCAACAAAGACUUUCUGCUUUACAUUGCCACGACUAGUAACUUCGUCUAUAGGUGAUCGUGGUCGAAAGACUAGAACUAGGCCAUGUAUACAAAGUAUAAAGGCUCGUCUACUUCGUCAGCGAGGUGUUAUCAGAUUCCAAGACUAGAUACCUACUAGUUUAGAAACUUGUUUACGCAAUACUACUCACCUUGUGGAAGCUACAACACUACUUCCAGGAGCACAACAUCUCCAUCAUCACCGAUUUUCCCCUACAAGAAAUUCUUCACAAUCGAGAUGCAAUGGGUAGAAUAUCUAAAUGGGAGGUAGAACUCGGAGCAUUGUCCCUGGAGUUCAAGUCGAGGACUGCAAUCAAAUCCCAAACCCUAGUCGAUUUCAUGGCAGAGUGGUGGGAGAAUCAACUACUAACGCCAGGAGAGCGUCCAAAGUAUUGGGUCAUGUAUUUCGACGGAUCACUCAAACUCGAGAGCGCCGACGCAAGAGUACUCUUGAUAUCUCCCAAAGGCGAAUAACUCAAAUACAUCCUGUAAAUCUUUUAGGAAGUAUCCAACAACGAAGCUGAAUAUGAAGCGCUUCUACACGGGCUCCGCCUGGCAGUGUCGCUAGGAAUCAAGCGAUUGUUGGUAUACGGUGACUCACUUGUAGUAAUCAAUCAAGUCAAUGACGAGUGGGACCGCCACAAGGAGAACAUGGUUGCGUACUGCCUAGAAGUAUGCAAGCUAGAGAACAAAUUAUCCGGUCUAGAGUUCCACCACGUAGCUCACGGCAACAACGUUGCCGUGGGCAUCCUAUCCAAGCUUGGAUCUACUCAUGCUCAAGUUCCAGCUGGGGUUUUCGUCCUUGAGCUGCACAAGCCAUCCAUAACAGAGCCGACACCAUCAACAACCACCGAUCGAGGUCAUGUCGUACCAGACCUGGAGGUUAUGAUGACCGACAUAGACUGGAGAGAUUCUUUCAUCGACUAUAUCAAAGAGCACAAGUUGCCUCCAGAUAAAAUAGAGGUAGAGCAAGUCUAAUGACGUGGCAAGAACCACGUUCUAGUCGGAGACAAGCUUCAUAGAAGAGGCGCAUCAUCAGGAGUACUCAUGAAGUGCGUCUCAUGACAAGACGACAAGGACAAACUGGAGGAAAUUCUCAAAGGCAUUUGCGGCAACCACGCAUCCUCACGAACAAUCGUGGGUAAAGCUUUCAGAGCAGGGUUCUAUCGGCCUACAGCUCUCGCUGACGCUGAGGAACUAGUCCGCUGAUGCCAAGGAUGCCAAUUCUUCACCAAACAACAGCACGUCCUUGCCUACAAGUUGGUCACCAUACCACCCUCUUGGCCCUUCACUUGCUGGGGGCUUGACAUGAUUGGCCCACUUUCCACGGUGCCGAGAGGAUUCAAUAGAGUACUGGUGGCGAUUGACAAGUUUACCAAGUGGAUUGAGGUGAAGCCAGUAACUUGCCCCAAGGCAGACAGAGUACUCGACUUCCUCAGUGAAAUCGUCCAUCUCUACGGCUUCCCCAAUCGCAUUAUCACAGAUCUGGGCUCCAACUUCAACAAUCACGAGUUCUGGAAAUAUUGUAAGAACCGCGGGAUCAACAUCCAAUACGUCUCCGUCGCUCAUCCGCGGGCCAAUGGAUAGGUUGAGCACGCUAAUGGGAUGGUACUAGAAGCUCUCAAGAAAAGAUUGCAUGAUAUUGAAAACACGAAAGGGGACAAGUGGCUAAAAGAACUUCCCAAUAUCCUCUAUGGGCUCUGUACCCAGCUGUGCAGGCCUACAGAGCAAUCGCCCUACUUCGCAGUCUACGGAUCCGAAGCUUUCCUCCUUACCGAUGUCAUAUGGAAAUCUCCAGUAGUCGAGCAGUACGAGGAGGGCGCAGCAAAAGAAACAAGAUAUCUAGAAUUAGACAGCCUCGAAGAAGCCCGCUGUGCAGCACUCAUCCAGUCUACAACAUACCUUGAAGGAUUACGCCACUAUCAUGAUCGCAACAUCAAAGAACGUUCGUUCAAUAUAGGCGAUAUGGUCCUCAAGCGCAUCCAAGACACCAAGGGGUUGCACAAGCUAAACUCACCAUGGGAGGGUCUGUUCAUCGUCUCCAAGAUCACUGCACCUAGGUCAUAUAGGCUCCAACACCUCUCUGUUGAAGGCGUCAACAACUCGUGGAACAUCGAGCAACUCUGUCGAUUUUAUCCUUAAUUUACGCAUUCAUGUACACCGGCCAUCAGCCUUAGCUGUAGAUUUUCAAGUCAAUAAAGUAGUUUUAUUUUUUAUCAUAAUACGACUACUUAUUUCUGCCUAUUUACAGCUUGCAGAAGCAAGUUUGUCAAGCUACUCGGCUCCAUUGGCAAAAUUGCCUACAUGCGGCUUGUAAUAACAAGUCCGCAAAAAGUUUCAAAAGAGUUAUUCAACUCACUGGACGAAAUUGUCGAAACACGGCUUGCAAAGACAAUUUCGCAGCAAAAUUCAUGAGUUAUUCAACUCAUUGGACAAAUCUGUCCCUUAGCAGCUUUCAGAAAAGGAGUCAUCAACACUUCGGGAGUUAUCUAAACUACCUGAGAUAAUAUCCACUAGAUACGUCUAUCUAGUCGCGACUUGUAAUAACAAGCUCACAAUUCCAGGUUUUCAAGAGCACAACAUCAAUAUAACCCAAAGAGGUUGUAAAGAUAUGCUCUAGUCGAAGAAAUAUUGAAGAGACUACUCGCCCAAGAGGUCUAACUACCCAUGUACCUUGAAUACUUGUACUCCGCAGAAAGGAGUUGCAUCCUAAAGUACUCUACACCAUGUAUCUGAAGAGGCUCAUCAAAGAAGCCUUGUGUGCAGACACUUACAUCUACCAUACGAGCAAUUAUCAGGGUAGAUCAUAAAAUGCACUAAAGCAACAAGUUGAAAGCAACAAAAAUUGCAACAAGGCUAUUAUUUACAUUUUAGAGCAUUCAUAUCAUGUUUACAUUACAAGAACUAUUGUUUGCUUUUUGUACAAGACUACUCAAUGUCUAAAUGAUUUGCUACUUCUUUCGCGAUAGGGUCCAUCUCUUGCAGGUACUGCUGAAAGAGCUCAUCCGAGCAGUCCUCCGCUAUUCUUUUCGCAACAGGAGCUAGCUUAGCCUGCGGGUAGAAGGACUUCACGAAGCUCAGCAGUUGCUUGGAGACAGACUUCGCUAUCUUCUGGACGUAGCCGGUGAACUUUGCUGGCACAUCCUUGACUAUUUUAGACAGAGGGUGGGGCUCUACACCGUCAACAAGGGGCUCCACCAUGUUCGCAAUCGUCCGAGCUACUUCAGAAAUUUCCUUCAAAGCAAGUCUUGAAGCUUCAAGGUCGGCUUCGCGCUCCUGGAGGAUCUUCAUGGCAUUGACCAAGUCGACCUCGCCAUCUUCGCUCAUCUUCUUUUCCUUCUUCAGGUGAUGAUCCAGGUUCUCAUAUAAAGCAGUCAACUUAUCAUGUUGAUCGGUCACUCGGUAGUACAAGUUCUUCCAAUCGGUGACUUAUCCGUGGAGAUCAUCCCUUGACUUCUCAAGCGCUGCACAAAUAAUCCACAAAGAGGAUUAGCAUUGUAAGUAAAAUCGGUACUCGAAGACCAAGGAAGAAGAUCAAUUACCUUUCAUCUGCUGGUUUAGAGACAUGUUGCAACCUUUGAUACGGUCCUUCUCCUCAUCCAACUGCUGGAUACGAUUCCGGUACUCGGCGGCUUGUCCGUCGUACUUCAUCAACAAUCGGGAGGAGUACUCCCUCUCCUUAGCAAGCUCCCUAGCAAGGGCCUUAACACGGAGUACUAAGUCCCCAUAGCCUUAAAGCAUCUGAUAUUUUCACCGGGAGCAUCUGAUAACAUCCUGCACCACAAAGUAAGUACUCGUAUUAGUAUAUGACUACUAAGUACAAAUCGUGUAUCAACGCAAGGAGUCAGAUCAAGCAUACCUCUGUAUAUGCAACAAUGCGGCGGUGCAUCUCCAUCAUUCCAGCUACCAUAUCCAUGUGUAGUAGUGGGUCAUCGAUCAAUUGGAUGUCCUCAAGAUUUAGUUCUCCAACUGCCAGUGGGUCCCCGUGUGCUUUAGAAUCCGUUGCACUAAGUGGAACAUGGCACGACUUGUCGGCGGACCCGGUUCGGAAGAUGGGACGACCACCACGACUUCCAGCACUUCCGCUGCUUCAGCUGCUACCUCUGGCUUGGAGGCUACAAGAGUAGCCAUGGUGCCAGAGGUAGUCGCCUCCACAACUUCAGGCACUCAUUGCUUGGGACCUGGCACUACUACGUCAGUCAACAAAGAUAUCACAUCCUGCAUCAAUGCUGCUACGAUAGAUAUGGCACCUGAGUUGCUUAUCAGCGCAGGAUGUUCUUCUGGCUACGGACUUGCUGGAGCCGGAGAAACGUCUUGGAUCAAGUGGCUACUGCCAUCAGUCGCCGGCUUCAGGCUAGGACCUCCAAGUUCCAUGUCAGAGGAUUUCCUGCAUGUGGAAAAGUUUCAGGGAAAUAAAACAAGUCGUUCGUGAGCUACAAUUACUACUUGUAAGGAGUAGCAAGGCAUACCUUGAAGAUCUCCUCAGUUUCAGGGAAGGUUCCCCUGUCAGGCGAAGGGGCUUAACUGUCAAAGAUGACUUCUUUGGCGCGGCUUGCAGGAUUGCAGCACGAUCGUCACCUGCCUUUGUUACCGCCUCUAUUCUUUGAGUACCUCUCGUGCCGACAACAUCCUCCUCAAAGAUAGAAGGCUCUGGAUCGUCUUCGGUUUCGAUCACCUCCUCAAUGACCGGCAGUUUGUGUUGAGCAACCUCAGCAGCCACCUUCUCCGCCUCGGUCACCUCUUCGAGUACAUGUGCACCACCAAUACCAUUUUGAGUAGACAUGGUGGUAUUGGAAUUACUUACUGGGAGUACUCGAUCCUCAGGAUCUUGUCCUUCUUUAUAGGUUAUUACCGUGGGGGGUAUGUCUUCCUCAAUAACAGGCUUCCUCACAGAUCGCUUUGUAGUGAUGGACCGUUUCUUCCUCGGUGGCGGAGCAAAUGCAGCUUCAAGAUCAUCUUUAGCUGCGCGCUUCGACGAUCCAGAGGACGACCCAGCCUUAUUAGAUGGCCAUGCCUUGAUUUCAAAGUCCCCCGUAGCUUCGAAAUCAGAGCUGCUGGAGGCCUCGACUACUUCUUCUUCCUCCUCCUCCCCAGCUUCACUCUCCACGCUCGCUACUGUGUGGACGCGAGGAGCAGCUUUGCAAAUGUCUUCUGAUUCGGGAGGACGAGGAGCAGAGCAGUACAAAUGCACAUCUUCCUACACAGAUAGACAAGAUUAUUACACUCACACAUUAACAAAAUGAGUACUCGGGGGCUGCGGCCAUAGGUACUUACAGCUUUUGGUGGGUUGGCAGUGCAGAACUCUCGCACAAUGGUGGGGAUUUCACCCACGUUCUUGAACAUACGCCUCAACCGUGCCAUGACCUCGUCUGUGCUAAGUUCCUCGGGAGUCAUUCUUGAUGGGUCAUUAACUCCCGAGUACUCGUAAUCCCAGCGGCAUCGCAGUUGUAGGGGCUGAGUCCGCCGCUUCAUGAAGCUCAAUGCUACCCUGACUUCAGUCAGUUCUUCUUGCUUCAGCUUGGAUAUCCUGUUCAGGAGUUCGGGUAGUUGCAGACAGUCUUCAUGGUUUGGCUCAUCUAACCAUCUAUUGUUCUAGGUGGGACGAUGCCCUAUUAGCUUGGGGAGCUUGGGGUCAUGGUUGCCAAUGUAGUACCACUUCUCGUUCUAUCCAGAAUGUGAAUCAAUCAACUCAUAAUCUAGGUAGAGACUCUUGAGCUUCUCUCUCAUUUUAAUUCCGACCCCUCUAACUACUUCGGUGUGCUCCCUCUUUGGCUGCAGCUUCACUCGGAAGAACUUCCAAAAUAGUUGGAAGUAGGGAUAGAUCCCCAAGAAAGUUUCGCACAAAUGCACAAAAAUCGAGGCAUGCAGAAUGCCAUUGGGAUUCAAAUGUACAAGCUCCAAUUUGUAAUAAUCCAAGAGACCCAGGAAGAAAUCUAACGCCGGCAAAGCAAGACCACGCUCAAUGAAAUGCGCAAAGAUUACCGUUUCCUUCGGGUACUCCUUCAGUGGCAAUGAGUUGUCUAAAGCGGGUCUCCAGUUGAUGACAUCUUUCUCUUGGAGAAGGUUGGUGGCCACAAGUAUCUUGAUCUCCUCUUCCUUUAGAGCGGAUCUCUUCCACGCACAUGCAGGAGUCAGUGGUGCAGUUUGGUCCGUCUUUCCAUACUUGGGCACCGGCAGUUGCGGCUCUUUCUUCUUGUCCGCCUUCUUCUUCUUGCCCUCAACCACCUUGGAUGUAGCUGCUUUCUUCCCCAUUCUCGAUGUCACGAGUGCCUUCUGUCGCAUGCGCUCGAGGGCUGAGUGGGGUGGGGGGGAGGGGGCGCUAGCGCUCGAAGAUUGGGCAGCAGCGCUAGAGCUACAGUGUAGAAGUUGAACAGACAUAUGGCCAAGGUAAAACGGAAGGGAUAAUUUCCUCCAUUAUUUAUAACCGUGGCGCAAUAACAGCAGCGGGAAUAAAGGAAUAUUCAAGUUUAAUGGAUCUGAGGUUUUCACACCUGAUUGGCAGUUAUCUCUAUUUUGAGAAGAGAUAAGGUUUCCGUUGACACAUGGUCACGUUGACCAAAGGUUGACCCUUAUUGUAACACCUGAUGUUUUAAGUCAUCAAAGGUAACUAAGAAAAGCCAAAAGCAGAAUUAUGGAGAAAGGGAGAAGAAAUUGGCUAAAAAUCAAAUUCAAGUCAAAUUUGACCAAAAUUUGAAUUUUGAAUUCGAAAUUCAGAAAAAUUUGGCAAAAAUAUGGAAUGAAAGGAUGAGAGUGUUUAGAACUUGGAGAUCAAGAUUGGGGACAAAAAUCUGGACCUAAAUAUCUCAAGAAAGCCAAAGAAAGAAAUUAAAACAGAAGGGUACUGUUCAUCGUCCGAAAAUAGGAUUUCAGAAAAAAAAACAGCAUCAGUGUCCAUUUUGGAGAUUGUUUUCUAUCAAAUUUUCCAAAUAAGUGUACCAAGGCAACUAUACAGUGAUGAAGUAUGAACUUUGGACAAAUAGAUUCGGGUGUUGUUGAUCAGGAACAGUAAAGGGAACAAAUUCAAAAUUGAGCUCAAAGUCAGCACUUUGUCACGGUAGACUGAAUUGCUCAAAUUGUCUAAGUCUGAAACAGCAAUAAGUAGCUGAGUUUGGAGCCGAUUUCAGAAGAAUGUAAAGCAAAAGGUGUAAGUGUUUAUGAGCAAAAUGGAAUCCUUGAAAGUUGUAGAACACAAAUGGGAAUUAAUUGGACUAAGAGGAGUGAGCUUGGGCCACUGAAAUUAAAUCAACAAAAGUGCAAAUGACCAUGUUGAAGGUCUGACGAACUGAAUGAGGUGUCAAAGGAGAUUCAGUUAACUGAGGGAAAGAAUUCGAAAAUUUCCAACAAUUGGAUGUUUAUCUCGGGUAGGAGUCUAAAUAUGAAUUAAAGAGCUCAAGUUUAUCAACAACUUUGUUUAAAGGACCGUGGAGCCGUCGGAUUCAAAAUCGACCGUGGCCGAGCUUUGAACUUCGGGUGUCAGGGAAACAAGGAGGGGGAGGGCGACAGAAGCAGGGCACAACAUGUCGUCGCCGGCGUCUUCGGUCGACCGCCAGCGCAGCAGCUACGGCACCUCCUCACCACGCAAGUCCCUAGCUAGGCCACGGUGUCGACCAUGCGCACGGUAAAACUUCAUAUAUCUACCGCUCCUGCCGCCACUUUCACCGUCGGUUCUUUUUACCGCCGCCGUCCUCUCUGUCAAGUCGCCGCCGCCGGGUGAAAUUCCUCCACCACACCGCAGCUCUCAUUGAUUCCUUCCGUCCACACCUCCACUCACACCCCACCAGCAACCCUAGCAACUUGUUGCCCAGCCUCUCCGCCGGCGUGCCCUACAUCACCGUCGUUUCUGUCCGCCACCGCCGCACCUCCUGCUCACGCUGAGCACCUCCUUGCCAUCGUUUUCUUUCCGUGUGGACAGUCGUAGGUGAGUCCUUAGGGUACUAGGAAGCCGUAGAGGUAGUCGUCGGGGUAGGCUGCGCCGUCGUUGUGUUUAGUCGCGACCGACCGUUAGCGCCGCCGCCCGCCGCCGUGGAGGGAAUGGCUUCGGCCACCUUCCGGGGAGCUACCGUCGCGCACGGGUGCGCUAGGGCAUGGGGAUGCUUCCCCGGCCUAGCCCCGUCGCCGGUAGGGCGCCGGCCGGCAAGCCGCGCCGCCCCCUGUCGCGCUCGGAUUUUGGCACGAGAAGGAAGAAGGGUCUGGCAUCGGCGGGCUCGCGCGUCAAAGGGAAAAGGGGAGAAGGGAGGCCGGCCGGGCAAGGGCGUCGGAUGGGCCGCAGUCUUGGAGGACCGGGUGCCAGUGCGGGCGGCUGUUGGAGGAAAGAGGCCAGAGGCCCGUGAGAUCCAGUGAGCCGGUGGGCCGGUGAGGCAGGCCGGUGUCACGAAAAGAAAAGGACAAGGAAAGGCGGGCCAUUGGGCUGGUAUCGGAUUGAGAAAGGAAAAGGAAAAAGAAAACGGCCCAGUGAGCCCAGCAGAGGAGGAAGUAGGCCGGCGGGUUGGAUGAAUAGGAGAAGGAGGUGGGUCCGAGCCGUGGGCCCAGCGUAAGAGAGAGGGGGUAGAGUGAGGGCGCGUGAGAAAAGUAGGCCGGGGCUUUUUCGGGAAAACUUAGAUUUCCUUUUGUAGAAUAAUAGAUUAAAUCUGGUUAUCACUAUUUAAAUCACAGAAAUUUCUAGGGGUGUCCAAAAUUAGUGAAACCAAUUUUGUUAGGCUUAUUUUAUUUUCCUUUAUGCAUUAAAAUUUUUAUACCCUAGGAAAAAUAAUAAAAAAAUUUGGGUAUUUAUUUAAUGCCUUUCUUUUAAGGUAUUUAAAUAAAUACUUAAUCUUUAUUAAAUACAUAAAAUAUGGAAUCACAUUUUCAUAAUAACACAUUAUUGUUAACUCAUAGGAAAUUAAGUUUCAAGACUAGAAAAUAAUUAUAACAUUUUCUAAAAAUAAAAGGAAGAGCCUUAGAUAAGGUUAAUAAAGGAAAUAAAAAUGGUGGGUUAAUCUUUUCGGGUUUUUGUGUGUUGGCUUGCAACUUUAUCAUGAUAAAUUGUAUAGUCCAUUGUUGGCUUGCAACUUUAUCAUGAAGGAAAGUUGUAUAGUCUUGUAUUCAAAAAGUUGCAUUACUAACCCCUGCAUAUGCUUUAUCAUAGACACCGAAGCACCGGAAGAGGAUUUCUCGGAAUUUUCAGAAGGAUCUCCAGAGUUCGAAGAGAUCAUUGAGUUGGUCCCCUGUGAGGCCAAUCCUUCAGACAGUGCUAACUUUUUUAUAGAACAAGGCUAGCCCCGGUGCAUUACACCUAUUUAUUUUGGAGUCAUAAUUUCAUGUGUCCAAUUAUCGAUUAUUUGCUAUAUGAAUGCACUAAGUCUAGGAGUUGAUUGAAACUCAUUCUUGUGCAUUAUCAUACCUUGUUUUAAGGACAUCUUUGCCACUUGUUCAAACAUUUAGUAAGUAACCCAAGUCUAGAAAUGCUUAGUUGCCUAAGUAAUUGGUUUACCGAACCUUAAGGUGAAAUGUGGGGUCAUACAUGCUAUUUAUGGAAAGAUAGCUUGAAAUUAAGAAGCGGACAGAAGCUAAGGAUGUAGUUCUGUCUGCUAGAUUAAUUUGGUUAAGGCCCGAUCGUUGUCUUAACCUCUGAUCAAGUGAAUGACAUCUGAUCACUUACUGGGUAUGGGACCAGUAAAGCCCAAUAGGUUAGUAAACUCUCUGAUCGGGAAUACUUCGUACCCGUGCUUGACGUGCUGGAGAUUGGCAGGGGCGUAGCCUGAAAACUCACAUGGUGAUCAGGCCAGACAUGGGGUCCCAUGUGGGGGUGCGUCCCUGAGUCCGGGUAGUCUUAUUCCCAAUCAUUGGAUUUGCUAAUCGAAAGGUCGUUACGUACGACCUGGACAGUCGUAUAUAACUGGUGAUCAGGGUACUCUCUUGCAUGAUGUAAUUUGAUCCGGAUCGCCGCAAUUCUCGGUUAUGAAUGCACUUGAUCACUGUUGAGCAUCGUAGUUCGAAUUCAUGAAUGCUAUAUCUUUCCACUAAUAUUUUGGUGUAUGACUUAAUACCUUGUUGUUUGCAAAUAAUCUUUUUAUCAUCAUUUAGAAUGGUUAGGUAAUAACUUAAUCGAAAUAAAAGAUAAAGCUAAGGUCUCACUUUUAGUAAGCUCUUUGGGCAAAAGUGUGUCAGCCAGUACACCGAAAAAGCUAUCAUAUAGUUCCAAGAAAAGCUAUUAUAUUAGUUAGUCGGGUAAGCCUUGCUGAGUACCCCGUACUCAGGGUUAUCCCUUGUGGCUGUUUUCAGAAGCACCGCCGGAAUCCACUGAGAAGGAAGCCCCGAAAAACUAGGGUAUUGUUAUGAGUCUCACAAUACCCUUAGAAAAAUCUUGAAUGCUCAUCUCCCACCUGAACCCGUUUAUGUUUAAUUCCUAGAACCUCUGUCUAACCUGCACUGUUAAGUUUAUUUCAAACUACGUCUUGUAAUAACUCGCACCUUAUGUAUGUAUGUAAAAAUGUAAUAUUUGUUGAUGCUUUCCCAUCGCGGAAACAAUCCUGGUGUAUGGCUAUGAGACGUGACGUGGAUCAUUCGAGGAGUCCUAGGAAUACUCGACGGACGACCGGAUUUAUAUUGUUUUAAGUGCGUUUCGGAUAAUUGCUGUAUCGGCAGCGAUUAGGCGCAUUUAAACCAGUUUAAGUUGGACGGUUCCGCCACACUUAUACCUACCAAACUAGUCGGUAAAAGGCUCGGGGGUUGUAUGCCACGUGUAAUCGGCAAAAAAGUUUUUUCUCUGGAUUUUAAGGGGAAAAUGAUACAAAUUAUAGAUUGAUCCUCAGCCUGAUUCUUCGAUUCAACCUAAGGCUUAGGGGCUACUCCAUAUGGAGUGCGACUUUCAUCGCACUUUCAUAUAAAAUUAGAGAUGAAGGAUUCAAUAUUAAGUUAUAUGAGGCUUGAGCACAUUCUUGCCACAUGACAGUGCUCGCGUACGUUUGAAGACUCAACCCGACGAAGUGCUCGAAGGACACCAAAACUAGUCGAUGAAGCCUACAAAAGUACUCGGAACUGCUGCAUUUGACUAAAAAGUACUCGAUGGCUUGUCGUACAUACAUCUAUGGGCCCACCAGAAAGUUUGGAUAGUCCUAAAUACAGGGCUGUACACCAAGACGUAUCUGACAUGGAGGCUAUGGUGCAGGACAGUGUAGUCUACGUGGCAAGACAGGAACUAGUCGAGAAUUAGGAAAAGUACUCGUAGCAAUUAGAGUAGGACUCGCCUAGUCGGUCGAAUCCGACUAGUAUUCUUGUAAAUUAACCGACAUGUAACCAUGCCCCCGGCAAUAUAAGGUGAGUCAGGGACCCUCUCCAAAGCAAUUCAAUCCAACCGACACAUAGGACGUAGGGUAUUACGCAAUCUAGCAGCCCGAACGUGUCUAAAUCGUGUGUUUGUGUUCACCUUUGAGUUCCUGAUCUCGGCGAGCCCCAUUAACCAAAAUACUACCUCGGGCACCCCUGGUACGUUGCAAACACCGACAGACUAUGCAUAUGUUGUAAUUCUGAGCAUGGAUAGCGAAGCAACACAUGUAUGAUCUUAGUAAAAAAAACAUCUUUAAAUCUACACCUCCGGUUCGGAUCUCGAAACCCCCCACCUUACACAAGAAAGAUCAUGUCAUGAUCACCUCUAUCAGCGCUAGCAGGUUAAGGAUAUGAUCAUAAGAACAUGUCAUACUCAUCGGUAGAUCGGGCAUGCAAAUCUGGUCAACACGACCACAAGAACACCCUAAGCAAUCUAUCAUCAAUUAAUAACCCGAUAAAGCAUAAAACCAUCAAAGGAGACACUUAGAUUGCUAAGAACAUGAAUACAUUUAUUACUUCACCAUGAAUUAUUGAGGGAUAAGGGUACCCAUGGUCCCCAUCGAUAAGGAUACUGGUUAGCAUGUCAGUGGGCCUGCCCGACCAUAUUGUGGUUGGAAUGUCAGUGGGCCUGCCCGACCAUACCAUGCGGGUCAAGGUAUGAAGACACGUGGAGCACAAGCCAGGAGGCCGAGCGAAUUAAUUCAGCCCGGAUAUCACGAGAUACUUGUUGUAAACCAACUCAGAUUGCCUACUAGAAUUAGAUCCUGUCUGAUUGUAACCCUAGGUCGUCAGCCUAUAAGAUGGUCAAGGGUGCCCCCCAAAGGUGACGGAUCCCACCUCAACUUCUCGCAUCCCAUACCAGUAAUACAAUCUACCAGGACACAUAACAUAGGGUAUUACUCUCCGAAAGUCCGAACCUGUUGAAAUUUGAAAACUAUGUUGUGAUACCUAAGUAGUGAACCAAACAGCUAUAACGUUGUUCAUUACUAUUACCGCAUCAAACCAAACAAAGGACGUAAUCAGUGAUUCCACCAAACAAAGGACGUAAUCAGCGAUUCCAAAAGAAAACCCCCCCUUAAACGCUACGUUAGCCGUGCAAUUAACACUGACAUGUGGGCCCAUAUGUGGCUGGAAAUUGCACGUGUAAGUGAACAUGUUUCGUACUCUCGUCCAGAAAGCAGUAGAGCAAACAUGCACAUACACACUUGUUUUCCUUGAACAGAUGUCAGACAAAAUUUCGAAUUGCAUCGACAAAUUAAGCUAGGUGCACCACAACAGUAGCCUACAAGACAUGAACUCGUGAACACAACCAAUAGUUAACAAAAUAGCAGAAGACUUCCCUCUUCACAAUAAGACGGGAUGGUAGCAAGCCCAUCAACACAAGAAAAGAGAACGGAGGGUCUACAUGUAUCAGACCACGCUACGAUGCUCCUAUGGAACAAGCCUGUUGUCCACCCACACACAGCCUGAUUAGAAACCUCGCUGCGGUCGCUCCUCUGCAACAUUCACUCGCAGGGCACGGCCAUCCAAGCUCUGUACAAUUACAGGAUGAGAAGUCAUAUUUUUGGGGGUAACAAAAGCUUUAAUUUGGCUGUGGAAUAUAGAAGAGGUAGAAGAUAGAAUCACUCCACGGUACAGCCAAAUUUGCUUCAUUCAAGUACUACUGUUAUGCAAAUGGCAGGGAAUCAACACUGACCUGUCCGUCAAGGGCAGCAAUAGCAUCAUCCAAUUCCUCCUGUGUUGCCAUAGUUACAAAACCGAAUCCCCGGGAACGCCCAGUUUCUCGGUCAUAGACAACUCGGGCGUCAACUACUUUACCAUGCUCGCUGAACAACUGCACCAAUUUAGAGUCAUCCACUUGCCAUGGCAGGUUGCCCACAUAAAUCCUGAAAGAAGGCCCAAAUUGUCUGGGAGAUCUUUCUCUUUCCACACGAGAGCCUCUAGGAGCUGCUUUAUUUACAGUCAGAAGCCUUCCAUUGACAUCCUGUCCACAUAAACAGGUACUCAGCAACUCAUGUAACUGUACAUUCUUAAAUUGUACUGGGACAUCCACAUCCAUAUAGGAUAGAAUCAUGAAAUUUCGAGAUAUAUAUAUAUAUAUCUGUGUGUGGAAGAUAGCACUCAUGCAUAGCAUAUAGAUGAAGUCAGUAUAAAGUAUUGAAGUUCACUUACAACAAAGCCUUCACUUGAACAGCACACAAACAGGCAUGUAUGUCUAAAAUCAAAGUCCUUACAGGCAUGUGCUAUGGGUUGGCCGUGCAGGAGCUAGAAGAUUAGGAGCACUUCUCCAGCUCCUUCCUUGUUCCAAGCCAUUGCAUGGGACUAUGGGACGGGAGCAAGGAAAAGAUACUUAGGUCCAGCUCAAGUUGAAGCUCCGGUGCCAGAAACAUUGAAAACUAUAUUUUCCAACACUAGUUGAGACAGCAGCAACAUAAGCACAGGGGAAAGGUGGGGAAGUGCUGACUUUGUUACUUGUUCAAUGGCUUGUGGGUCCUACAAGAGGGGCUAGCACAUUGCAUGAAUUUUUAGUACAGAUGAAUUUGCUGGUGUGUCAGUUAGAUCCUCACACACCACUGCUCAUGCCCUAGGAAUGAGAAAAAUAUACCCCUAUGCCCUAGCAAUCUAUUAAUGUUUACAUGAACCAUAUUUAUAUGCAAGCUGCGAACAGCAUUCGAUGCAUAACACAGGUGUGCAAAUUAGUAGUUAACAAUGGUUAAAUGAAUUGUAACUAGCAUAAGCAAACAAGGCUAUUGUAACCAUAACUAAAGUACUAAACCCAGAAUUUAUCAAGAAAAACAGCUCCAUCAAGUCAUCAAAUACACUCACAUAGCGAUGGAACAUCUCCACUGCCUUCUCAGCCUCCUCAACAGUACUCAUGGUGACAAAUCCAAAUCCACGGCUCCGAUCUGUUUCUCUGUUGUAAAUGACCUGCAUAGCAACAAAGUAAGUUUACUUCAGAGCACAUAAGCAAACUCUUUUUUCAAGCCAGGGGGAACAGGAAGUCAGGAACACAUAUAUCCUCGAACGAGCAAACCAUGAAUAUCCUUGAACUAGGAGCAUCAUAAAAAAAUCCAUUAAACGCCUGACCUAACAGAUACAGCUAGGUAGGCACCUCCAUAGUGUGCAGAGGUUGGAUGAGCAACAAGUGUCAAGUGUACAUGUUCAGUGUCUUAGGCUGACAAUUUGUGCUGAAAGCUAAACAAGGCUUAGGGCCAUUUUGCUUAACAGCACAUAACAGGUUUUUAAUCACCUAGCCAAAGAUGCUGUUCUGAUAAGAACCUUUAAUCACAGCAAUAUCUCAACACACAACAAGAACAUCUCAUGAAGCAAUACCACAUUACAACAUACCGGAACCUAAAAUAUCUGAAGGAAUAAGGUCAUAAUUCGGGCAAGUAGGCUAAAGUAGCUGCACGUUUGCAACUCCAAAAGUGCAUUUCGCUACUCUUGCGUAGCGGCAUAAAGACAUUCGCACUACCUGACUAAAAGUGAAGCCGCUCCAGAAUGGAGGCAGCGGAGCCAGUCAGAAGUUUAAAUUGAGGCAAUUUUUAUGCAUGGCGUAUAAAAAUUAAGGAGGCGGAACCGCGGAAGCAACGGCUAGUCUCACCUCCGCGACCUCGACGACGCCGGCCUGCUCGAAGAGCUGCGCGAGGCGCUCGCUGUCGACGUCGUAGGGCAGGUUGCCGACGUAGACCUUGGCCUCCUCUGGCGGCUCGACGUACUCCCCGACCUCCUCCUCCUCGACGGCAGCGUCCUCCUCCUCCUCCCCCGACGCGAACGCCUCCUCCUGCUCCGACUCGGCCCCGUCGGCGGCGGCCGGCUCCGCGUAGUCGACGCCGACGGAGGACUCGAAGGAGUCGGAGGCGGCGAGUGGGGCGAGCGGUAGGCGGCGGGCGGAGCGGAGGCGGAGCAGGCGCGGGGGCGUCGGGGCGAGGAGGACGAGGAAGGGGGAGGUGGGGGUGGUGGGCUUCGUGAGGGAGGCGGAGGUGCUGGCGGAAGCGAGGGCGCGGAGGGACGCCGCGACGGAGGAGGCCAUGGUGGCGCCGCGGGCGAGGGGAGGGCAGAGGGGAAUGGGAGGAGGAGGGGAAGGGGAUAAGAGAGGGAGGGAGGAGCGACAGCGAGCGGGGAGGGGAUUUUGGGGGUGGGGCGCCAGGACCAGGAGGUCCAGGAGUCGGCAGGGCAGCGCACGAGGAGGAAGAGGGACGAGCCGAUAUUUUCCGCUCGUUUUCGUAUGGGCCGGGCCGCGGACGGGGUGUUCUACAUGGGCUGGGCCGUGUAUUUUGCUACUCGCAUUUUUAGUCCAAGGUCAGCCAGUUUCCCAAAUGGCUAUCAAAAGAAAAAAAAAACAAAGUUCCCGAAAUGGUUGUUAGUAUUUGCCACAUCUGAUACAAAUCACAUCACAUCGGGGAAAAAAUGGAGGAGGAGAAAACAUUUGCAUAUUCCAGGUAAUCAUAAAACCGUCGAUCCAAGGUAAUUCUGAUGUGAGACCUAAGGUUAACCUAAUGUCGACUAUCAAACUGACUGAACUCUAGGUGGUACUUCCUCCGUCCUAAAUUAUAGGUCGUUUUGUCUUAUCUAGAUGCAUAGAUGUUUGUAUAAUAUAUACAUCUAUGCACCUAGAAAAGCUAAAAUGACCCACAAUUUGAAAUGGAGGGACUAGCAAGCUUCAGAGUUCAGGCUGCACAUCAUCUGCCGUUCCAUUCCCCAUCCAUUUGCGCUUCACCUGCGUGCAUCAAAAACAAGGCUUCGUUAGUUAUGAAAUACUCAUGCCCACCUAGCUAGGUCCAGAUACUUUUCGGUGUGGUUGAUGCAAUUCAGAUCCUUUUCCCCCCUCGUUUAGCGGUGUAGCAGUGCCACGAAAGAGAAAUGUCAAAUGUGUGAGCGUAGUGAAAGUUUGCAAAUAAAACACGAGUGUGUUGGUCCGCUGAACGGCACCCAAACACUAUGAGGUGCAUAUGCCCACUAGCCAAGGAGGCAAAUUCUGAAAUUCUACUCCCCCAUUUUUCUGAGAGGUAACUACAUUGAGAUCAGCAAGACAGAUUAUGGCUCCAGUAUCUGUAAAUCUUUUGUUUGAAGUGAUCAGAUCAGAAACCUACCUGCACUAGCAGAACCGUCUCAGCAAGGUGGGGGAAGAGGAGUCCCCGGAGGCGCACUUGCAGCCUGCUCACUGCAGAUCAUGCCAUUGCGAAACAAUCAAAACUCUAGAACAACAGAGACAUACUAUACAUCUAAAUGCAUUUGAACCAACACCUUCAGUUCCUCUGACACAUACCGGAUCCACUUGUCGAUUAUCGCGCUGUACUGGGCUGGUAUCUUCCUCAGAGCUUCCAGAGCAAACUGAUCCUCCUUCUCGGCUUGCGACAUUUCCCUUGACAUUAUUUCGGUGAAAUCCACAAACUGCAAGGAAUACCAAAAGCAGAAAUAGAAAAAAAAAUCAAAUCAAGCACAUGAGAGAGAAAGAAACGAAAUCCUCUAUUUGAGAAUAGUGUACAUGUAACUAUCAUGUACCUGGAAAUUGUCAAACAAACGCCGGUUAUCGUGGCGGUGAAUACGAUCAUCCCAUGGCACAUCACCAACUCCAACGAGGACAAUAGACAAAGGGAAAUGACUGCAAUAAAAAAACCAUAUAACAACUCUAUAUCUACGUAUGGAUCUUUGCAAGUAGAUUGAGCUUUCUCGACAAGGAGAAUUAGGUGACUUAAAAAAAACUUUAGUUGACUAUAUUAGGUGACAGUUACCUGGCAUGUAUGAGAGCCUGAAGAGUCCUUUCUUCAAGGAUGUUCACAGAUCUUGUCUCAUCCGGAUACCUUGCUGAAUGAGCACCAGUAAUCAUCGGAACCUGGGGCAAAAUGAGCAAAUACAAGCAUAAAAAUUUGUCAGUAAAGCAGUGGUAAGUCAUCCGAAACUAGAGAAGGACAACUUCAUUUAUGUCAGAUUAAACAAGGCCGUGGCGAAAUGGAAAGCGCCUUAUCUAUUUGAAGAACAUCUGCAAUGCACAGUGAUCACACUUUUCAUACUUUGUUUAGUUAAUCACCGCAAGAGCAUAAAUCUUGAUAUUUCUCAUCUCUAAAAAAAACAGAAAGGACCAUACAUGCCAAGAAAGCUCAAAUCUGACUGCCAUAUGAAACAAUCGACGAGAUUUUAAUUAGGGCAUUUACACAGAAAAUGGCAUGCAUACCUGCCCAUCAGCUAUGAUCAGUAGAAUGUGGUACUGGUGCCUAGAAACUUCAACAAUUCUCGUUGCCGUUUCUAUGAUCGGAACUAGAGAUGUCGGCCCUAAACCAGAACCCACCGGCCGGUCAGUGAGUGUGAUGGGGGGACAAACGGAAUGACUGAAAGAUGCAUUGUACCAGAAAGCCGAACGUGAGGAGCGAUCUCUCUGUAUCGCUGCAGUGCUUCUGAAACACCAGUGCACGCCCGGCCAUCUCUGUGGAAGUUGAAGACGUUUCGAUCAUGCGUCGUUGCUGAAACAGACGUGGAAGCAAAAUGAGAACACCAUAUCUCUCCUCUCUGGUUUGUUAUAUGCAAAGGAACGAAGAAUCAGAGGUCUUACUGUCCCCAAAGCCGAAGCAUGGGAUCUUGUUGUCUUCAUCGUAUGCUGACAGCGUCCUCCCAAUAAUGCCGAUCGCCUGCUCGUACGGGUUUGGAGCGUUCCCGAGGUGAUGCAGGCUUCUCCCGUUGAAACAAUGCUUCCCUUAAAUUACACAAUCGAUACUUCAGUCAGUUGUCAUGCACAAUGACUGGGAAAAGGGAGGGAAAAAAACAAGGUGAUCUAUGGUAAGAAAGAAAAGAAAAGAAAAGAAAAUAACUGAUAGUGUCAACCUGUCCAUUCGUUGCUCCUGGUGAAAUCCACCCCGAUUACAAGGUUAGAUGACUCGAGCCCAACCUUUUGGAGUUUCUCCUUCACCUGGAUGGGGAGAGAGAGAUACCCAACCCAAAACAACACUGGCAGCGUCAGGAGGUACUCAAGGGUUAGGUAAGUUCUUGGCUUCAUGCAUCUGUAAUUCUCACGCCGGGGGUAAUCGGUAAUGAAAUGGAGUGAAAGUGAGCAUGUAGCUGACCUGAUCCAAGGUGCUGCAGUUCUGGUCUGUUCCUGCCGAUCCAUGGCUUUCAGCGGUGACUCUCUUGAGACGAAGGGACCAGGUGAAGCAGAACAGCAGAAACAAAGUGGAGAAGAUCAUCUCCGGGCUACAAAGGCUCUAACGCUCUCAAAAGCAAGCAAGAAAUGGCAGUGAAAUCGAUCAGGAGCUGGAAACAAGCAGGCUUGGGCGCAGUCGCACUCAUCAGCACCUGGAGCCUUUUUAUAGUUUUGGGGAUGAGACGCAGCAAGGUGAAUGCGAUUGGCCGAGAGAACGAAACUGCAAGGCAACGACCCAGCAGGACUUAGAGAGGCCGCGACGCGAUGGCAACGACGCGCAAAGGAUGUCGAUGGACACGCUGAAACGAGCAGCCUACGGUGUGGUGCUCUGCUGUGGUGGUGCGAGUGGUUGGUUGCCAUGCAAUUCUUUAGGGUAUUACUACGUUAUUAAACUUUUACACCGACGAGGUCGCUCUUAAUUUUUGCAUAAGAGAUGGAUGCGUCAUGUCCAACUUUCGUCGUGUACGAAUAAAGGAAACACGGCGGGGAAAGGAAGAUUGGGAUUCGUUUAUACCUGGAAGAAAAGAGCAAAAGGCCGGCUUGUUGCUAGCCUGUUGGAAUUUGCUCUCUUUCUUUGCUGGUUUUCAAAAUCUUGUCCUCAGAGGAACCGCAGCUCAAGCACUGAAACUCUGGCGCCCUUGGGAUAAUCUGGAUGAUGGUUCAGGAUCAGUGUAUAUCGAUAUUCUCUUUGCAGAAACGCGCUAGAUAAUUCCAAGAACAACCAUUACCUGGAGGUUGAAAAGGCACUCCGCGUGCAGUGAGACGGCACACGACUUGAUAUAGCUGUUGACCAGGAGUGGCAUCUUAUUCGAGUCAUUCCAAUGCCGCAUCCAAUAGCAGUAGGCCAGCAACACAGAUAUAUCAAUUUUGCAGCUUCACACUGCUGUUUAUUCCCACGAUAGCUUCUCAAAUAUGAGUAUUCAACAUCUUUAUUUGUACACUGGAAACUUGUAGACUUCCCCUUUACAGUGUCAUGUACCUAAUCUAAAGCAGCAUAAACGGUUUCUCGUAAUGAAGACCAACUGGUGUUCGUUUUCAUCUUAAAAUGGAACAAUCUUGUCAAAGAAUGGAAAUCUCAGCAUCUUCACUAUAUCAACUUUUACAAUUACACGGAGCCAUCCAACACUCUCGUCAGUUUUCCACUAAACAUGCAUCAACAAAUUGGGAAAACAUCUACACAAGAACGCAAAUCAAAACAAAAUUUACCGUUCCCCUUCUCUAAAUGAAGGAGCAGGAGCCGUAUAUGUAAACUGUAUAGACAUGGCACAACUAUAUUAUUAGGGGUUCAGAUAGCUCCAUCUCAUUGGAUGUCUGCUCCGUCUCCGCAGGAGGUAACCGCACAUAGUUCAGUCCCAACCAUUGCCAUGGCCAGCACAUGUAUCUAUGGCCAUUGCGGUUAACAGAAUCGGUUCUAUUAUCUGAUUCUUCAAGCUGCCUGUUAAGCUCCUCCAGCCUCUCUCGAAGCCUGGAUGAUCGCAAAUCCGCUAGUUUUAGAGACUUCUCUGCAGCAUCGCGUGCUGCCAUCGCUGCGGCUGCUGUCUCUUCCUUGAACUUCAGCUUGUUUUCAAGCUCCACCAUAGCUUGCUUUGCCUCAUCUAAUUCCUUUCUAAGGGAUGAGAUCUGCGUGACAAAGCAAAUCCCAUCAGAUUGAACUCAGCUAAUCAAAAGUUUAAAAAAAGGAUGGUUGAAACUGAUGUUUCAUCAUCAUAAACAAACCAUCCAUUCCCUUGCAUCAGUUAAUCUAUGUAUGUUCGCUUAAACGCAAGUCCAAACGCCAUGGCACUAUAUCUACAAAGGCUCUAUAAUGCUCCAUUGCAGAUUGCUGUAUGCUCCACACAGUCAUCAUGGCACUGUGCCGGCUAUUGGUUCAGCCGCAUCUUCUGCCACCACUAGUUGCCCAAGGCCUUCCUUGCAUUACACAUCGAUAGGUGAAAUUUGUCUAUCUACGAUGGGAUAACUGCAGAAGGCAUCUAACUUGUUUCUAAACUGAAAUUAUUUAGAUGAUUAUUAAGCUAACAGGACCAUAUCUAGGAAGGAAUGCACUUAAGAAUACUAGAAUGAUAAUCAUUAAGUAUGGACAUGCAAUUUGUAACAAAAAUAGCAGCAACAAAACAUACUCCCUCCGGUUUUUAACAUAUGAAGGGCCCCUCCCCUGUUUUCAAUAAGAUAUGUAUGCCAAAUCAUAUAGUACUGCAGGCUUAUGCUUGUCUCACUUAUUAGUACCCAUAAUAUGUAUGUUUUGGAUAAUUGUAACAUGUAGCAGAGGAAAAUCUGCUGAAUAUCCUUUUUACGGGGAAAAAAUCGGUUAAAUGUUAUUCUCACGGAUGCUACUCUAGGUGUUGCAGGCAGUUCACUUUAGAUAUAUUAAACAUAUAAGUUGCAAAACCAAUCACGGUAGUUUGAUUGCGCAUGGGACAAACUCACUGUACUAGAAGUUACUCCAAAAGAAAUCUUUCUAGUCAGAUAACUAUGACGCAAAGGUGACAAACAUGAUAGACCCAUCAGCUUUUAUGAGCAACCCCAACCCCUCAAGAAAACACAAACAAGACACCGAAAGCAUAGAGACCAAACAGAACUAUAUGGAAUAUGUUUGUAUUAAAGCACCUGAAUCUGGAACUCUUGCUCAAUUGAUCUACCAGCUUCAGCUUCCUCCUCUGCUGCCAUCUUCCAUCUUUUAAUCUCCUCUUCAGCAGCUGUCACAUCCAUCAUCAGACCCUCAACCUGAACAGAGUGCAUAGAAUGUGAUUACCCAUUGAUAAUAACCUUAAAGAGAAAUAAGUAGUGUACUUGAAACAUCAAAUUAUACAUGGGGAAGAAAAUUACACUUUCAUUUGCCACCCUUUCCUUCUCUUCAAGAUGCUUUAUUUGCUUUCUUAGCUGGACAAUCUCUUUUUCCUGCCCUUCCAGCCUUGUUCUUAGUAGACCAGACUCCGCCCUUAAAGCCAGCAAUUGCAUAGAUGAUAAGAAGCGGGAAGCAAUUUACAAUGGUUCAAAGCAUCCACAAUAGGAUAUAGCAACGCAGCAAUAUCCAAAUGUCUUUUUGUUGCAAGGAAGUUCAAUAAGCAUGUCUUAAAAACCAUAUGUUCAGUUUACACGAAACCUAAGCCAAAUGAUAUUCUAAGUUCAUUAAAGUCACUCUAAGUUCAACAGGCAGAGAAAACAAGGACUAGAUGUACAAUAAAUUGAAACAGGGGAUUUCUCUACCCCUAGAGGCUAGAACUGGGUGUGAGCAAUCUUGGCCAUGGAAAUGAACUAAAUAGAACCAAAGCUCAUCUGUAACCAGCUCGCAAAACUAAAAAACAUUCAUCAGUCACAAUAGCUACCUUAGUGCUUCGAUGAGAUGUUGGAGCUCAAUGAUCUUAACUUGGGACUCCUUCAUGGUAUUCUCUAGUGCCCCUGCCUGCAAUGUUGAUUGCAUAACUAACAAUUUAGCGCACUAUGCAUGCUGAAGAACUUGCAAUAACAUGGAUGGUAGCAUCAAAUUGGCCAUACCAGGGUAUAGACCUCGUCCUUCUCCACACUCCCUGGCCUGUGCUCCUUCCGCUCGUCGAGUCCAAUCUCAAUGCCGGCCUCCCUCAGUCCAUCCUCUGCAACCUUUAACACCUCGCUCGUAGUCGCCUGCAGUGCACUCCUGAGCAGCACCCCAAUGUGCUCCUUCUCUUUGAUCAGUUCAUCCACCCUGUCCUCCAAACCCCUCAGCUUGCUCUCCUUGUCAUCGAUGCAUGCCCCAACCUUCUCCAGGGCCAUUGCCGCAAGCUCAUAGGCCAAUUUCGUCCCUUCCAGGGACACCUUGAGGCUUUCCUCAACGUCUGUCUCCUUCCAGACAAAAACCGAGUCUGACAGCGUGCUGGCAGCAUCAGCAUCGACCAGCUUGACCACCUCCCGCAUUUCAUCGUACAGCUUGGAGGCGCAGCCGAUCUGCUCGGCGAGCACGGGCCUCUGCGCGUCAAGCUUUACCUCGAGAGAUGCGAUUUUGUCACGGAGCUCGGAGAUCUCGGCUUCCCGCUGCGAGAGGGACUUGGAGAGGGAUUCGCAAUCGGCGGACCUGGACGCGACCGAUGCCUCGAGCUCGGAGACCUCGAUGGCGAUCUGGUAGUUGCGGUGUUCCAUCUGCUCCCGCGCGCGGUCGCGGUCCCGGUUGGCGGCGUCGAUCUGGGCUAGGAGAUCGUCGACGAUGUCGUUGGCGCGCUUGAGGACGCCGUACGCGAGGGCGGGGAGGCCGGAGGAGUACUUCUGGGAGGUCGGGAGCGGGGCGGGGGCCGAGGAAGGGGAGGCCUUGGCGGAGAUCCUCUCGAAGCCGGAGGAGAGCAUGGAGGAGGCGGUGGAGGCCUCGGCCUGGAGCGCGGCGAGGGAGCGGGCGGAGGCGGCGGACUCGGCCUGGAGCGCGGCAAGGGAGCGCGCCGAGGCGGUGGACUCGGCCUGGAGCGCGGCGAGGGAGCGCGCGGAGGCGGCGGCCUCGGUGGUAAGGUCGUCGCGCUUGCGGAGCACGUCCUGCGCGAAGGCCUUGAGGCGGGCGAAACGGUUCUCGGCCUCCGCUAGGGAGCCCUCAGCGGCGCGGCGGAGGCGGCGCUCCUCCUCGAGCUCCGCGGCCAGGUCCAGCAGCCGCUGCUGCGCCUGGGCAUCGGGCUGGGGCUGGGCCUGUGGUAGGGUUUUGUGGGCGGAGGCGGAGGCGGAGGAGGGAGGCGGGAGGGGGUCCUCGUCGACGUCGGAGAGGACGGCGGCGUCGUCGUCGUCGGCCAUGGCGUCGGGAAUUGGCCGGCCUGGACGGCGGCGGUGGUGGUGGUGGGUUUGUGUCGUCGCGUCGCGUGGAC